AAAUAAAAACGAAAACUUUGUAUAAUCCCUAUUAUAAGGUUAGGGAGUUUCUACCAAGAGCCGUAAAUUCUUGAUUACAAAGACAAUA
rnacentral:ncRNA from 1 species